UACGAAGGGGGCUAGCGUUGUUCGGAAUUACUGGGCGUAAAGGGCGCGUAGGCGGUGUGUCAAGUCAGGCGUGAAAGCCCCGGGCUCAACCUGGGAAUGGCGAUGGAUACUGGCUCGCUAGAGUGCGGUAGAGGAGAGUGGAAUUCCCCGGUGUAGCAGUGAAAUGCGUAGAGAUCGGGAGGAACAUCAGUUGCGAAGGCGGCUCUCUGGACCAGCACUGACACUGAGGCGCGAAAGCGUGGGGAGCAAACAGGAUUAGAAUCACCGUAG
rnacentral:rRNA from 1 species